CCCUAUGGGGUGCAGCAGGCGGCACCGGCACGCAUUUACUGGUAGUAGCAUCAGUCAGCCAUGUUGAAUUUUUAUAAGCAGGAUUAAAAGACGCCAUGCGGAUCUCCAUGGCCAUCAAAUCAAGAACAGCCCGCGUAUCCUGCUGGGCUAUGACUUUGCGAUCCAGACUGGUUGAUGUUUUCUGGGCUGUCGUCAUUAAUCCAUAGAUUGCAGCCAUAAUGAUGGCUCCCACGGCCAUGGCUAUUAAGACUUCCACCAAUGUAAAACCUUUAUUUCUCAUAUUAACGAUAUCCAUUCCAGUCAUUGCUGAAAACCCGCCUGCUGAGUGGCAAUUAAACUGUUUGCAAUCCCCGUUGGAUUUCCCGUCCAGCUCACUCUCGUAUUAAUGAUCCAUGAAUUGGCGGGGGGGC
rnacentral:rRNA from 1 species